rnacentral:rRNA from 1 species
CCUACGGGGGGCAGCAGUGAGGAAUAUUGGUCAAUGGACGAGAGUCUGAACCAGCCAAGUAGCGUGAAGGAUGACUGCCCUAUGGGUUGUAAACUUCUUUUAUAUGGGAAUAAAACGUUCCACGUGUGGGAUUUUGUAUGUACCAUAUGAAUAAGGAUCGGCUAACUCCGUGCCAGCAGCCGCGGUAAUACGGAGGAUCCGAGCGUUAUCCGGAUUUAUUGGGUUUAAAGGGAGCGUAGGUGGAUUGUUAAGUCAGUUGUGAAAGUUUGCGGCUCAACCGUAAAAUUGCAGUUGAAACUGGCAGUCUUGAGUACAGUAGAGGUGGGCGGAGUUCGUGGUGUAGCGGUGAAAUGCUUAGAUAUCACGAAGAACUCCGAUUGCGAAGGCAGUUCACUGGACUGCAACUGACACUGAGGCUCGAAAGUGUGGGUAUCAAACAGGAUUAGAUACCCUGGUAGUC